UACGUAGGGUGCAAGCGUUAAUCGGAAUUACUGGGCGUAAAGCGUGCGCAGGCGGUUCUCUAAGUCAGAUGUGAAAUCCCCGGGCUUAACCUGGGAACUGCAUUUGUGACUGGCGGGCUAGAGUAUGGCAGAGGGGGGUAGAAUUCCACGUGUAGCAGUGAAAUGCGUAGAGAUGUGGAGGAAUACCGAUGGCGAAGGCAGCCCCCUGGGCCAAUACUGACGCUCAUGCACGAAAGCGUGGGGAGCAAACAGG
rnacentral:rRNA from 1 species